CCUACGGGUGGCAGCAGCGAGGAAUAUUGGUCAAUGGACGAGAGUCUGAACCAGCCAAGUAGCGUGAAGGAUGACUGCCCUAUGGGUUGUAAACUUCUUUUAUAUGGGAAUAAAGUGUUCCACGUGUGGGAUUUUGUAUGUACCAUAUGAAUAAGGAUCGGCUAACUCCGUGCCAGCAGCCGCGGUAAUACGGAGGAUCCGAGCGUUAUCCGGAUUUAUUGGGUUUAAAGGGAGCGUAGGUGGAUUGUUAAGUCAGUUGUGAAAGUUUGCGGCUCAACCGUAAAAUUGCAGUUGAAACUGGCAGUCUUGAGUACAGUAGAGGUGGGCGGAAUUCGUGGUGUAGCGGUGAAAUGCUUAGAUAUCACGAAGAACUCCGAUUGCGAAGGCAGUUCACUGGACUGCAACUGACACUGAGGCUCGAAAGUGUGGGUAUCAAACAGGAUUAGAUACCCGGGUAGUC
rnacentral:rRNA from 1 species